rnacentral:lncRNA from 1 species
GGAGUACGCCGGGAGCGGACACGCAGACGGGCCACCUUCGGUGGACACUGCAGAAGAGACCGUGCACACACAGGCGUUACACAACCCUGUUAAAAGCAUCACUGUAUCAGACAUCAUCAUUUAUAAAGAACGCGUGUGCUCAACUGUCUGGCGCUGUCCCCUUUGCUAAUACAGGAUUUCCAAAACAGGGAGGGUUCGGCCGGGCACGGUGGUUCGGCCGGGCACGGUGGCUUGCGCCUGUAAUCCCAGAGUUUUGGGAGGUCGAGUCAGGAGGAUUACUUGAGCCCAGGAGUUCGAGACCAGCCUGGCUAACAUAGUGAGAGCCCAGUAUCUACAAAUUUUCUUUCUUUUUUUUUUUUUUUUUGAGGCGGUGUCUCGCUUUGUCUCCCAGGCUGGGGUGCAGUGGCGCGAUCUCAGCUCACUGCAACCUUUGCCUCCCGGAUUCAAGCGAUUCUCCUGGCUCACCCACCCGAGUAACUGGGAUUACAGGCGCCCACCACCACGCCCGGCUAAUUUUUAUAUUUUUGGUAGAGACGGGGUUUCACCAUGUUGGCCAGGCUGGUAUCAAACUCCUGGCCUCAAUUGAUCUGCCCGCCUCGGCCUCCCAAAGUGCUGGGAUUACAGGCAUGAGCCACCGCGCCGGGCCCAAAAUUAUUUUUAAUUAGCCGCGUGGUGGCGGGCGCCUGUGGUCCGAGCUACUCGGGAGGCUGAGGUGGAAGGAUCACCUGAGUCCAGGAGUUCCAGGCUGCAGUGAUCCGAGAUAGCACCACUUUCACUCUAGCCUGGGCGGCAGAGUGAGACUCCGUCUCAAAAAAAAAAAAAAAAAAAAGGAAAACGAGGGUCUGAGUAAGUGAGGGUACAGCUCUUCCUUAGACUAGCUUUCCUGUCAAUAAAUGUGGAAGGAAUAGUGGAAAUAGAAAAAUUUUCCACUGGGUAGCCACCCCAAUAAUAGCUGCUGUAGACGAAAAUCUUGAGUGAUAAAAAUAGUGGGCCGGGCCCUGUGGCUCACGCCUGUAACCCCAGUACUUUGGGAGGCCGAAGCAGGCGGAUCACCUGAGCUCAAGAGUUCCACACCAGCUUGGGCAACGUGGCGAAACCUUAUCUCUACUGAAAAUACAAAAAGUAGCCAGGCGUGGUAGCAGGCACCUGUAAUCCCAGCUACUCGGGAGGCUGAGGCAGGAGAAUCGCUUGAACCCGGGAGGUGGAGGUUGCAAUGAUCUGAGAUCGGGCCACUGCACUCCAACCUGGGUGACAGAACGAGACCGUCUCCAGAAAAAAUAGUGAGCAAGGCCAGGCACAGUGGCUCAUGCGUGUAAUCCCAGCACUUUGGGAGGCCGAGGCGGGCGGAUCACUUGAGGUUAGGAGUUCGAGACCAGCCUGACCAACAUGGUGAAACCCUGUCUCUACUAUAAAUACAAAAAAAAAUAGCAGGGCUUGGUGGCAGGUGCCUGUUGUCCCAGCUACGGAGGCUGAAGCUGGAGAAUUGCUUGAACCUGGGAGGCAGGAGUUGCAGUGAGCCAAGAUCCAGCCACUGCACUCCAGCAUGGGCAACAGAACGAGACUCGGUCCCCGGCCCCCAACCCCCUACAAAAAAAUUAGGCCAGGCACAGUGGCUUACGCCUGUAAUCCCAGCACUUUGGGAGGCCGAGGCGGGUGGGUCACGAGGUCAAGAGAUCAAGACCAUCCUGGCCAAGAUGGUGAAACCUCGUCUCUACUAAAACUACAAAAAAAAUUAGCUGGGCAUGGUGGCACGUGCCUGUAGUCCCAGCUACUCGGGAGGCCAAGGCAGGAGAAUCACUUGAACCUGGGAGGCAGAGGUUGUGGUGAGCCGGGAUCACGCCACUGCACUCCAGCCUGGGUGACAGAGUGAGACUCCAUCUCAAAAAAAAAAAAAAAUAGUGGGCAAAAACAUGACAAACAGGUUUUGUUUUGUUUUCAGUGUUGCAAAGUUUCUCCCCCAGGAUACUAAUUGCCUAGGGAAAAUAGUAGUUUUAGAGUGGAAGAAAACUUGGGCGACACCACCUUUAACCAAGCCAUCAAGGUCACCAGCAAACUUAGCAAAUUGUACCAUUUAAACAUGUGUAUUGCAUUGUAUAUAAAUUCUGCCUCAAUAGAAAUGAAAAAAGUUAGUUCCAGUAAGAGGACAUACUGUGGACCUCCUGAGAAGAACACAAGUUCACUUGUGGGUAUUUUUGCCCAAAAGGCAGAAUCUGAAUGAAGAGCAGACAAACCCCAAAUUAGGGGCAUUCUGCAAAAUUACCAGCCAGUGCUUUUCAAGUAUCGAGAUCAUUCAAGUCAAAGAUGGACUGAGGAGCCAUCUUCAAUUAAAAGAGAUAACAAAAUGCAGUGUGGAAUCCAGACGAUAGAUGGGAUCCUGGCUCAGAAAAGGGACAUUAAUGGGACAAUUGAUAUAAUUCAAACAAGGUCUGUAGAUUAGUUAAUACUAUUGUAUUGGCCUGGCGCGGUGGCUCACGCCUGUAAUCCCAGCACUUUGGGAGGCUGAGGCAGGCAGAUCACGAGGUCAGGAGAUCGAGACCAUCCUGGCUAACAGGGUGAAACCCCGUCUCUACUAAAAAUACAAAAACAUUAGCCGGGCAUGGUGGCACGCACCUGUAGUUGCAGCUACUUGGGAGGCUGAGGCAGGAGAAUUGCUUGAACCCGGGAUGCAAAGGUUGCAGUGAGCUGAGAUCGCGCCACUGCACUCCAGCCUGGGAGACAGCAGGAGAC